rnacentral:sRNA from 2 species
GCACGGCCUCCGCCGAGUCCGACGCGCCGCCGUGCGCCCGGAGCCGGGGACCCACCGACCUUGGGGUGAAUCGACCCGACUCCCUUCCAGGGAGCGGCCGUAGGGCAAACCUUCCUAACCACCCGCCCGAACCCGACAGCUAACUCGGUAGGCGGAACGUGGAAGGAGUC